ensembl:snRNA U6 U6 spliceosomal RNA
GUGCUCACUUCGGCUGCACAUAUACUAAAGUUGGAACCAUGCAGAGAAGAUUAGCAUGGCCCCUGUGCAAAGAUGACACGCAAAUUCGUGAAGCAUUCCGCAUUUUU